GGCCAGGAAGCAGGAGCACUACGCCUGCGCAAGAGGACGGCGGCCGCCCUGGAGCAAAGAGGGCCGUGGUCAGAAAGAAGUUGGGAGGCUUCCAGUACCAGACAAAAUGGAGUAAGGCACUGCAGUCUCUGCCACUGAUCACAACUAAAAAUUCUGGACAAAAUGUAACUAAGGACUCCGAAAAGUAAACAAGCAGCCAAAUUAUGGAAGGGAAUCAAAGCUUGAAGAAACUAUCUGUAUGGGUACCAGAAUCCUUUUAGCCAGGCAUAUGUCUGCCUGAAAUGGACUCAUCUUCCCAACCUCUCCUGCAACUAGGUGCAACCUACCAUGGACUAAGUUCUGCUGUGAGUUGUAGGAGGAGGUACAAUGGGGCACCUUCCUGGAACCUUCCUUACAACACUGUUGGCACAUUUCCUUUUUCUUCUUUGUCACCUCUUUAAUUCAUCCUGUGGCUUGGAAAGUUGGUGUAAAAAUAGCUGGAGUGCUGGCUACCAUGCUGACCAUGAAGACCUAGGGAGGGA
rnacentral:lncRNA from 1 species